AUACAGGGCUACAUCUAGUCUUGUAAUUGGAAUGAGUACAAUUUACAUCUCUUCACGAGGAUCAAUUGGAGGGCAAGUCUGGUGCCAGCAGCCGCGGUAAUUCCAGCUCCAAUAGCGUAUAUUAAAGUUGUUGCAGUUAGAACGCUCGUAGUCGGAUUUCGGGGCGGGCCUGCCGGUCUGCCGAUGGGUAUGCACUGGUGGGCGCGUCCUUCCUUCCGGAGACCGUGCCUACUCUUAACUGAGCGGGGGCGGGAGACGGAUCGUUUACUUUGAAAAAAUCAGAGUGCUUCAAGCAGACUCGCGUCUUUGCAUGGAUUAGCAUGGGAUAAUGAAAUAGGACUUUGGUGCUAUUUUGUUGGUUUCGAACACCGAAGUAAUGAUUAAAAGGGACAGUCAGGGGCACUCGUAUUCCGUCGAGAGAGGUGAAAUUCUCAGACCAACGGAAGACGAACUACUGCGAAAGCAUUUGCCAGGGAUGUUUUCACUGAUCAAGAACGAAAGUUAGGGGAUCGAAGACGAUCAGAUACCGUCGUAGUCUUAACCAUAAACAAUGCCGACUAGGGAUUGGAGGAUGUUCAUUAUUGACUCCUUCAGCACCUUACGGGAAACUAAAGUCUUUGGGUUCCGGGGGGAGUAUGGUCGCAAGGCUGAAACUUAAAGGAAUUGACGGAAGGGCACCACCAGGAGUGGAGCCUGCGGCUUAAUUUGACUCAACACGGGGAAACUUACCAGGUCCAGACAUUGUGAGGAUUGACAGAUUGAGAGCUCUUUCUUGAUUCGAUGGGUGGUGGUGCAUGGCCGUUCUUAGUUGGUGGAGUGAUUUGUCUGGUUAAUUCCGUUAACGAACGAGACCGUUGCCUAUUAAAUAGUGACGCGAACACUUCGUUCGCGGCGCACUUCUUAGAGGGACAACUUGUUUUCAACAAGUGGAAGUUAGCGGCAAUAACAGGUCUGUGAUGCCCUUAGAUGUUCUGGGCCGCACGCGCGCUGCACUGAUGCACUCAACAAGUUUUUACCUUGACCGAGAGGUCCGGGAAACCUUCGAACUUGCAUCGUGAUGGGGAUAGAUUAUGCAACU
rnacentral:rRNA from 1 species